GCGGCCGCCUCACGGUGGUGGCGGCGGGGCAGCUCCACACCCCUGGCCGGUCACAAAUUGACAGAGCUAACAACGCUAACAAACAAGCUCUUAAGUGUGUGAGGGGGAAAAAAAAAUUAAAGUUAGAGCUCUCAGACCCGGGGCAUGGUUUGGGAAGCGGGAGGUUGUGUUGAUUAUGAACAUGAAAUGGACCACUAGGACAUCUGGCUGGACUUCCCAGUUAAGGAAGAAACUAAUAAAACCAGCGCAGUAAUUGUGCUGAAAUCAGAUCCAAGGAGGUAAAAGGUGGCAAUGAUAUUUUGAAAGCAGUCCUGGAAAAAAACAUGGAAAAGCAACUGUCAGAUACACUGAACAUACUGCCACACCCACCCUUGAAAUACAAAGAAUAAACACUUACUCGCAGGUACUGCAGAUAGGACUGAAGUUGCAGAAUACUGAAAAAUCAAAGAAUUGGCUUUCACUAAAACAGGGCAUUGGAAUGUAAGAAAUCAGACUGUUAAAUGUUUAUAAACUUACUUGACAAGCACACGGAGCACACGUAGCCAAUUUCAAUGAGGUUGCGAUGGCAGAAGCAGGCAGCUCUGUAGUCAACAUGAACAGGAGGUGGAAGGACGAGCUGUGAUCUCUGCUCUUGAUCAGGGAGAAAAACCCAC